CGCAAGAUGGCUGCUGGGUGUCGGAGUGUGAAGGUAGACCAGUGUUCGUCCCUGCAGCUUCCCUGGCUGGGACGUCGCGGCCGUGCCACUCAGGGGAAAAAAGCGGCGCUGGGAGGAAGGGUGAUGCUCAUCUAGGCCUGGGCUUGGUAGCGCUGAUAACCGGAGGAGCCUCGGGCCUAGGUCUGGCCACAGCGGAGCGACUGGUGAGGCAGGGGGCGGCUGCUGUGCUUCUGGACCUGCCCAGCUCGGAUGGGGAGGCCCAGGCCAAGAAGUUAGGGAGCAGCUGCACCUUCGCCCCCGCCGACCCUUCCUUCUAGAUCCUUCCAUGAAUCCGUACCCUCAUUAGUUUGCCACUGUUCUCUUCUCUUUUUUCAACCGUCUGGCCAGCUAUGACGCUGGUGGUGAAGCCUUGGUCUCUGUGGAAUGAUGGAAGCUUUACUGAAGGUCAUAGUUUCUUGGCGGUGAACAGGACCAAGUAACAUCUGUCACCAGAGGUGUCAGAGUGAUUGACCUCAUCACCAACCUGGACAUGGCAGCUUUUCAGUCCCAUAGUGGACUUUUUAUCUUCACUUAUAGAUGAGAUGUGACUAUGGCAAGCAGUCCAGGCUCAUCUGUCUCUGUGGAGCACUGACUGGAUGUUGAAUUAAGGGCAUCGAGUUCCAACAACAGCACUAACAUCUCCUCUGGCCCUGGCCCCCAUCCUGGUGUGUAGACAGAUGGGUAACAAGAUGGCACAGCUGGAAGUACAGAUGCUUCUACCCAGGGUUUGUUGGAAGGAAUUGGGCUAGAUGGUGAUAACGUUGGCUCCCAUGGAGACAGAUGAACCUACUGCUUCAGAUUCUACAAAUUCAAAAUCACACCAGCCAUGGCUGCCAGAAUCAAGCAGAUCAAGCCUUUGGUGUCAGGUGAAUGAUUCUCGUUUUUCUAUUUCAUUUUCUGGUUUCCAGGACCUCAGCCAGUUCUCAAACAUAAAAUGGGUUGUUAAGGUUGUAUUUUUCACUGAAGGAAAUUUUAAACCUUCGUGACUCAUUUUCACAUGUACUUUGUUGAGGGCCUACUAUGUGACAGGCAUGAUACUAGCUGCUAGGGUACAGAGAUAAGAAUCCCUUCCUGAAAACCCUGUUUACUCUUCCUGUCUUUAAUUGCACCCCUCCUACUUUCUGUCCAAUUAUUGCAAAUAGCUUCUGUUCCUGCCUUUCCACUGAAAUGUCUCACCAAGGUACCUUAUACCUGCUUAUUGCUAAGUUCAUUGGUUACUUUUCACUCCUCUUCUGACUUGGCUUGUCUGCAGCAUAAUAUACUUGACCCAGCACCUCAUUCUAGAAAAACUCUUUCUUUGGCUUUUGUGGAAUUAAGCUCUCCUGAUACCUGUCUGGUUACUCCACCCAGUCUCCUCUUCCUUUCCCUGUCCCUUAAAUAGAUAAUUCUUUUGAUUCUGUCUGAGGCCCUUCUGCCUUUUUCAAUGAAGCUGGCAGGUGGCAUGGCAUGAUUUGUGUUUUAGUCAAGUCACUUUGGCAGCUCUAUGGAAACUAUAUUGGCAGGAUACAUGAAUACAUUAUAGAUAUGCACUGAUCUGUCUUUGCUGUCUUUUGCCCCUUAAUGUGACAUCAAUGUUUUGGGGAACGUAUUUUGAGUGUUCCUCAAAUAUAUUCCACUUUCUGACACCCUGAUGUAGAGGAAAGUGCGAUAUAGCCCCUGGGAAUCCGGGGGCCUACCCAAAAGCAAGCAAGA